rnacentral:rRNA from 1 species
GGAGGAAAAGAAACCAACAGGGAUUGCCUUAGUAGCGGCGAGUGAAGCGGCAAAAGCUCAAAUUUGAAAUCUGGCGCCUUCGGUGUCCGAGUUGUAAUUUGAAGAUUGUAACCUUGGGGUUGGCUCUUGUCUAUGUUUCUUGGAACAGGACGUCACAGAGGGUGAGAAUCCCGUGCGAUGAGAUGCCCAAUUCUAUGUAAGGUGCUUUCGAAGAGUCGAGUUGUUUGGGAAUGCAGCUCUAAGUGGGUGGUAAAUUCCAUCUAAAGCUAAAUAUUGGCGAGAGACCGAUAGCGAACAAGUACAGUGAUGGAAAGAUGAAAAGAACUUUGAAAAGAGAGUGAAAAAGUACGUGAAAUUGUUGAAAGGGAAGGGUUUGAGAUCAGACUCGAUAUUUUGUGAGCCUUGCCUUCGUGGCGGGGUGACCCGCAGCUUAUCGGGCCAGCAUCGGUUUGGGCGGUAGGAUAAUGGCGUAGGAAUGUGACUUUACUUCGGUGAAGUGUUAUAGCCUGCGUUGAUGCUGCCUGCCUAGACCGAGGACUGCGAUUUUAUCAAGGAUGCUGGCAUAAUGAUCCCAAACCGCCC